AUACGUAGGUGGCAAGCGUUGUCCGGAUUUACUGGGUGUAAAGGGCGUGUAGGCGGAGAUGCAAGUCAGGAGUGAAAUCUAGGGGCUCAACCCCUAAACUGCUUUUGAAACUGUAUCCCUUGAGUAUCGGAGAGGCAGGCGGAAUUCCUAGUGUAGCGGUGAAAUGCGUAGAUAUUAGGAGGAACACCAGUGGCGAAGGCGGCCUGCUGGACGACAACUGACGCUGAGGCGCGAAAGCGUGGGAGCAAACAGGAUUAGAUACCCUGGUAGUCCACGCUGUAAACGAUGAAUACUAGGUGUGGGGGGACUGACCCCCUCCGUGCCGCAGUUAACACAAUAAGUAUUCCACCUGGGGAGUACGAUCGCAAGAUUGAAACUCAAAUGAAUUGACGGGG
rnacentral:rRNA from 1 species